UUUACCAGAGCUUCUGACUGGGUUAUCUGAGAUUUCUCGACGUUUAGAGAUGGGUGCAAUUACGUGCUAUUUUAGGGAUGUAGCUAUGUCAAUUCAUUACUACCGACGCCCGGAGAAGUUACUUACCAGAUUUUUGUAGCUAUUCUUGAAAUUCCUAUGACAUUCGUUAUUCUUUUAACCAAUUCCGUACAUGCAUUGAUUGAAGAAAAUGGGCUAUAGAGAAAGUAAGUCUUCCAUCUUGAACAACUACUUUGUUCUUUCUCUUACCUAUCUUGUGCAUUUGCUUUGCUUGCUCCAUCUUUGGGCCUUGGAUUUUGGAUUCAUAGAAUUUCUACAUGUUGGUUCCCUUUUUUUUCUGAGCAUUUUUCUUUAAAAAUUUAGGGUAGAAGCUUGAUGCAGCAAAGAUGUUUGACAAUAUGUCUCAGGUAUUGAAUAUCUUUUUUGAUCUAUCCUCCGGCAAUCCAAAGGUACCUUACUUACUUCUAUUGGACUGAAUUACUGAAUAAUCAUAUAUUUGUUAAAUGAACAUUUGUUUUAAAUGGAUUUAAUUAGCUCAUAUAACUAUUGUCGUAUCACUACUGUUUAUCUAAAUAAAUAGAGAAAGUCAUAUUCAAUCCAAAUUGGCGCGGAGUUCUUUCGUGGCUGCCAUUUUGGUGCUUGGUAUGUAUUCAUGAUUGAAUUAGCUCAACAACAAUUACAUGUUUUUAUCAUGUUUAAGAACCUCUUAAAGAGUUGCAUAGCUAUGAUGCCUUUUCUGUUGUGCUUUUUCUAUUGCAACAAUUAAUUUAAUCGUGUAAUCUUUUUGGUUGUGCAUGUGAUUAGCUGGGAGAAAUUUGCCAACAUUUUAAGAAUUGACAUUUAUGGAAUGCCUCAAAAUAAGUCAAGGCAAAUUUUCUUGAUGGUAAGGUAAAGAUUCGAAUAUAUUUUUGUACAAAUCAGCCCUCUUAUAAGGACUACAGUGCAACUCUUAAUUUAUUGAACCAACCAAAAAGAGUUGGUGAAAUCCAACAGAUGAAAAUGAUAGUUUGUAGUAACAGAAUGAUCCUAAGAGCUUCUUUGAAUAAACUUUCAUUGUUUCUGUUAUUUUAUUGGUGGACGUUAUUUGACUUAUGCUAAGAUUUGGUUUCUUUUCUAUUUUUAUGAUUUGAGUUGGUAUUUAAUUUGAAGUUGCUUUGGGUUGUA